UCCCUCGAGCCGGAUUUGAACCAGUGACCAAAGGAUCACGGUGAAUACAUCUACAGUCCUCCGCUCUUCCAACUGAUCUAUCGAAGG